rnacentral:rRNA from 1 species
AUUGAACGCUGGCGGCAUGCCUUACACAUGCAAGUCGAACGGUAACAGGUCUUCGGAUGCUGACGAGUGGCGAACGGGCGAGUAAUACAUCGGAACGUGCCCGAUCGUGGGGGAUAACGGAGCGAAAGCUUUGCUAAUACCGCAUACGAUCUACGGAUGAAAGCAGGGGACCGCAAGGCCUUGCGCGGACGGAGCGGCCGAUGGCAGAUUAGGUAGUUGGUGGGAUAAAAGCUUACCAAGCCGACGAUCUGUAGCUGGUCUGAGAGGACGACCAGCCACACUGGGACUGAGACACGGCCCAGACUCCUGCGGGAGGCAGCAGUGGGGAAUUUUGGACAAUGGGCGAAAGCCUGAUCCAGCCAUGCCGCGUGCAGGAUGAAGGCCUUCGGGUUGUAAACUGCUUUUGUACGGAACGAAAAGACUCUUUCUAAUAAAGAGGGUCCAUGACGGUACCGGAAGAAUAAGCACCGGCUAACUACGUG